rnacentral:rRNA from 1 species
UAUGUGAUCGUCUCUCGCAUAUCAAUAAGCGGAGGAAAAGAAACUAACAAGGAUUCCCCUAGUAACGGCGAGUGAAGCGGGAAGAGCUCAAAUUUGAAAUCUUAAAGGGUUUCCCUUUACGAAUUGUAGUUUAAAGAAGUGUUUUCUGUUGAGGUUUUGGUAAAAGUUCUUUGGAAUAGGACAUCAUAGAGGGUGAGAAUCCCGUAUUUGACCUUUACUUUCAACUUUGUGAUACACUUUCAAAGAGUCGGAUUGUCUGGGAAUGCAGUCCAAAAUGGGUGGUAAAUUUCAUCUAAAGCUAAAUAUUGGCGAGAGACCGAUAGCGAACAAGUACCGUGAGGGAAAGAUGAAAAGAACUUUGAAAAGAGAGUUAAACAGUACGUGAAAUUGUCAAAAGGGAAGCGUUUGACACCAGUGUUGUUUUUCUGAAAAUCAAUUAAAGAACUGUUUAUGCUAAGUUGUUUAGACUUUAUCAGCUAUCUGUUUAGUUUUGAGCUUUUCUUUAAUGCACUUUUCAGUUAACAAGUCAACAUCAAUUUCUUUUGCUGUAAAAAAGCUUGAGGAAGGUGGCUUGAGAUUCGUCUUAAGUGUUUAUAGCCUCUUGCCUAUGCAGUCGGAGAGAUUGAGGUCUGCAGCGUAGAUCCUUCGGGGCUAAAUGCAUUUGUGCUAAGUUAUAACAUUUUAUAGACAACUUGUUGACUAUGAUUUGUCUUGUAGCUUACUCGCUUAUGUUAUUUUACCUACGCUUAGGAUGUUGAGUAGCGACAUACGCAC